rfam:Spinacia oleracea cultivar SynViroflay scaffold2118.con0003.1, whole genome shotgun sequence.
AUCCCAUGGUGAGCGAAUUCCCUUUGGUAUUCCUUGAAUCGGCCCCAAGCUUCAAAAAGUGACUCAUCCCGCUUUUGCUCAAAGGAUUGGAUUUUGUGACGAU